GAAAAGAAACCAACAGGGAUUGCCCCAGUAACGGCGAGUGAAGCGGCAACAGCUCAGAUUUGGAAUCUGGCCCCUAGGGCCCGAGUUGUAAUCUGGAGAGGAUGUUUCUGGCGCGGCGCCUUCCGAGUUCCCUGGAACGGGACGCCGGAGAGGGUGAGAGCCCCGUACGGUUGGACGCCUAGCCUUUGUGAAGCUCCUUCGACGAGUCGAGUAGUUUGGGAAUGCUGCUCAAAAUGGGAGGUAAAUUUCUUCUAAAGCUAAAUACCGGCCAGAGACCGAUAGCGCACAAGUAGAGUGAUCGAAAGAUGAAAAGCACUUUGAAAAGAGGGUCAAACAGUACGUGAAAUUGUUGAAAGGGAAGCGCCCGUGGCCAGACUUGUACCCCGCGGACCAUCCAGCGCCCUCAGCGCCGGUGCACUCCGUGGGGCGCAGGCCAGCAUCGGUUUUCCCAGGGGGAUAAAGGCGGCGGGAACGUGGCUCCCUCGGGAGUGUUAUAGCCCGCCGCGCCAUGCCCCUGGGGGGACCGAGGACCGCGCUUCGGCAAGGAUGCUGGCGUAAUGG
rnacentral:rRNA from 1 species